rnacentral:tRNA from 1 species
GCACCCAUAGUGAAAUGGAUAUCAUAUCUGACUUCGGAUCAGACGUUGGGGGUUCGAGUCCCUCUGGGUGCACCA